AUGUAAGUAAAUAAGGGCGCACGGGGGAUGCCUAGGCUCUCAGAGGCGAAGAAGGACGUGACAAGCUGCGAAAAGCUACGGGGAUCCGCAAGAGGACUUGAUCCGUAGAUAUCCGAAUGGGGCAACCCAUCCUACAUAAGUGGGAUAUUCCGCAAGGAAGGCAAACCCGGGGAACUGAAACAUCUAAGUACCCGGAGGAAGAGAAAACAACAGUGAUUCCGAGAG
rnacentral:rRNA from 1 species